rnacentral:lncRNA from 1 species
UCGCUUGUGUUUUCGAAAUAUAAUUUUGAUAUGUGUGUAUAAUUCAUUAUGGAAAGAAGUUAUUCUGAAAGCACUUGCAUUAUACUAGACUUCAAUCUAGCCAUACAUAACUGUUCUGUGUUCAAGUAUAUCGGCAAAGUGAUAAGUGUGUACCCAUACAUAUCGUUCAUUGUUCGAGUGUAUAGAGAGACAGUCUGAUCUGCGUGCCCUAACCAUUUCGUGUUCGAAGGGUAACAGUGUUUUAAGGUAUUUAUGUUUAUCAUUUCGUGUUCAGGUACAUGGAGAACUAGUGAUAAGUAUCUGUACCUACGCAUAAUGUAUGGUAACUAAUUGAUCUUCCGUAAUAGUGAUGAAAUAUACAACAUGCAUAUGUUUUUUUAUUUGUAUUUUCGUCUUCUGAUUCGUAUUUAUUUU